CAGCAGCCGCGGGAACACGUAGGGUGCAAGCGUUAAUCGGAAUUACUGGGCGUAAAGCGUGCGCAGGCGGUUUGUUAAGACAGAUGUGAAAUCCCCGGGCUUAACCUGGGAACUGCAUUUGUGACUGGCAAGCUAGAGUAUGGCAGAGGGGGGUGGAAUUCCGCGUGUAGCAGUGAAAUGCGUAGAUAUGCGGAGGAACACCGAUGGCGAAGGCAGCCCCCUGGGCCAAUACUGACGCUUAUGCACGAAAGCGUGGGGAGCAAACAGGAUUAGAGACCCCCGUAGUCCCUGUCUCUUAUAC
rnacentral:rRNA from 1 species